GACAGAGGUGCCGAGCGUUAGGCGGAAUCACUGGGCUUAAAGCGUGUGUAGGCGGACUUCUAAGUACCUCGUGAAAUCCCACGGCUCAACCGUGGAACUGCUUGGUAUACUGGUCGUCUUGAGCCAUCUAGGGGCUGUCGGAACAAAUGGUGGAGCGGUGAAAUGCGUAGAUAUCAUUUGGAACGCCAAAGGUGAAAACAGACAGCUGGGGAUGUGCUGACGCUGAGACACGAAAGCCAGGGGAGCGAACGGG
rnacentral:rRNA from 1 species